rnacentral:rRNA from 1 species
AGAGUUUGAUCAUGGCUCAGGAUGAACGCUAGCGGCAGGCUUAACACAUGCAAGUCGAGGGGUAGAGGUUGCUUGCAACCUUGAGACCGGCGCACGGGUGCGUAACGCGUAUGCAACCUACCUUUUACAGAGGGAUAGCCCAGAGAAAUUUGGAUUAAUACCUCAUAGUAUAUAUCUUUCGCAUGUUAGGUAUAUUAAAGUUCCAACGGUAAAAGAUGGGCAUGCGUCCUAUUAGCUAGAUGGUAAGGUAACGGCUUACCAUGGCUACGAUAGGUAGGGGUCCUGAGAGGGAGAUCCCCCACACUGGUACUGAGACACGGACCAGACUCCUACGGGAGGCAGCAGUGAGGAAUAUUGGACAAUGGGCGCAAGCCUGAUCCAGCCAUGCCGCGUGCAGGAAGAAGCAUCUAUGGUGUGUAAACUGCUUUUGUACAGGAAGAAACAUCCCGACGUGUCGGGACUUGACGGUACUGUAAGAAUAAGGAUCGGCUAACUCCGUGCCAGCAGCCGCGGUAAUACGGAGGAUCCAAGCGUUAUCCGGAAUCAUUGGGUUUAAAGGGUCCGUAGGCGGUUUGGUAAGUCAGUGGUGAAAGCCCGCAGCUCAACUGUGGAACGGCCAUUGAUACUGCCAGACUUGAAUUACAAGGAAGUAACUAGAAUAUGUAGUGUAGCGGUGAAAUGCUUAGAUAUUACAUGGAAUACCAAUUGCGAAGGCAGGUUACUACUUGUGGAUUGACGCUGAUGGACGAAAGCGUGGGGAGCGAACAGGAUUAGAUACCCCGGUAGUCCAA